CGACCUCUACAGGCUGGCCGGCCCCCAGGCGGGGCUGGGCGGGUACCUUUUUGAAAGGCUCACCCCUAAGCAGGAAGAGGCGC
rnacentral:pre_miRNA from 1 species